UUGGUGGAAAAGGUUGCUUGUUAAUUGUGUUAAAUGCGAGUAGAGUAUAAGCGGAUUUACAUGUAGGAAAAUAUAGGAAGAACAUAAAUAUUGGUUGAAAAAUUGCAUCACAUUUUUACCAAAAAAAAAAUUGCAUCACAUGCAUAUUAUUCGCAUGAGAUGUUUAAAGAAAGGCCCACCGCACGCGAGUUUAAUCUCCAAUGGAAAGACUUACAGAAAGGUCAAAGUUCUUUAUCAACAGACAACAGGAUAUGUGUGCGUAGAUUGUAAAACACGUAGUUAUCUAUACAUAAACUAAUUCUUAAAUUCGUUAUGUAUAGUUUUUUUGGCAGGAAAAAAGCAUAGAACCAUAAAGAAGAAGAACGGUUGAAGAUCACGAUCUAUUCAUGAAUACGUGUCCUCAGCUUUAAACCACUCACAUGGACGGUUUAAUAUCUAACAAAGCAUUGUUUUUCCAAAGAUACUUUAUUACUGUACUAGGCGGCAAUCCAGCUGAUAAUUAGAUGAAAACUA
rnacentral:lncRNA from 1 species